rnacentral:lncRNA from 1 species
AAAUAUUAAAAAGGAUUAGGGGAUGAAGCAGAAACUUCAGGAAACGGGAAAAUACAAAAGCAGGGAAGGAAAGAAAGAGAAAAGAAGAAAAGAGAGUAAGAAGAAGAAAGCUUUGGACAAAGGAUUUAAGAAGAACUGGGGGUUGAAAUUGAAUCCUUCGGCUCAAGAGGUUAACCUUCUUCUUAUCAGUUGAAUUAUUUUACUACAUCUACGCGAUUUCAUGUAGUACAAAAGAAUUUCAUAUCAGUUUUUUCAUAAAUAAUUAUUAUAGAUAGUAAGGCUAUAAAGGUUUGAUUUAGGUACUGAUAGGUUUAAUUUUGGAGAAAUAAAGUAUAUUAAAUAGUUUGAAGUUGAUAGAAUUAUGAACUAGUUCUAUGAUUAAAUAUAAAUACCUUUUUAUUUACAAGAUUUUUGGACUGAUUUAAAUUACUCAUAGUAUGGGUAAAUAGAAAUCCACAAUUAAGACUCAAACAUGAACCCCGAUGAUUGGGUUUUCUAAAAUAGCUAUGAAUUAGCCUAAAUAAGGAAAUUAACAUGAGAUCGAUAUUAUGUAAUUAUAGAUUGAUUGGAGAAAUUUGUAUGCAUUGCUCGAGGUGAAGCAUUUGGUAUUUCGGCACAAGUACUGUGGUAGUAAUCUUACCGCAAUUUGUGUUUUCAUAACUUGCAUGAUUUACACAUGAUUUUUAAUAUGAAUAUGUUACCGAUUAUUUUAAGUUACACGUGGGACAAGUCUUUUACUCGAUAUGAUACCGAAAUAGUUAUUUGAGAAGAUUACCGUUGUUUUAAAUAUUUUCGUUGUCACUAGAUCUGUUUUACCAUUACUUGAAUUUACUGUUAUCGAAAAGAAAUUAUAUGAUUCGAUAAGAACCGAAAUGGCCUAUAUUGUUUUAAGAUAUUUUCUAUGAGUAUAUACGGAUUACAGAGACAAGUAUAAAUGAGAGUAGAUAUUGAAGGAUCCCGUAGCUAACGGCGGGUUCGUUAGACCUGGUGUACCUUGUAAUUAUAGAUUACCGUUAUAGCCCUCGCUAGUGGGAAGGUAGAACUAGCAUACCGUUACUGAUUUCCCUCGAGUAGGGACUACCGUUAUAUUUGGCUUCUUGCGAAGAAGUCCACAGUUAUACCGAUUACAUGAUCCGUUCAUUAAAACCUCCCAAAUGUGAAUAUUGAUAUUAGACAGUGGUUACCGAGCUUAUUACCGAACUGUUACUUGUAUUAAUCUACAAAAAAGCAUGACGAGACUGAAAAUUAUUUAUUGUUCCUGAAAGGACAUUUUAUGUUAUUUUCUGUUUGAUAUACUAGCAUGUUUUCUGACUUAUCCCCAAUAAAAACGGUUGUGGUUAAGUGUUAUUACUCACUGAGCUAGUGACUCAUUUCCCGCUAAUAUUUUUUUACAGAGACAACAGUUAACGCAGGCGAGGAUUUCGUUAGUUAGAGCGCACGAGUUGAUAUUUCUCGGUGAGCCUCGCACUUGUUCGCGUGGGCAGAGAUUUUAUUUAUUGUAAUGGUCUUUUCAUUGAACUCUUAGAGUCGCUCCAUAGUCAUUAUUUUAGUGUCAUGAGUAUUCUUUUGUUAUUAUAGUCUUAUGUUGAGUAUCGCUCUCAUUUAUCAAAGUUGGAGAUAAAUUAAUAUUUCUAGUGGUGAGUUGGUGGUUUAUUUAUGGUGGAGACUUGUAUUGGUUAAUUGACAAGUUGUUAAUUGUUUGGUAUGAUAUUAG